AUGACCUGCUUUGCUAGAGGCACUGAUAAGCUUUUAAAACGUAUAUUUGAGUCAUCUGUCUUGUAUGUUUGUCUGAUUGAGAUAUUUUCCCACCAUAGGGCCCAAGAGGAGCUAAGGGGCCUCGAGGUGACAGGGGUCCCCAAGGUCCUAAUGGAAGAGAUGGUAAACAUGGACUCCCCGGGGUUGCCGGCCCCCCUGGUCCCCCAGGACUUGGAGGAAACUUUGCUGCUCAGUUUGAUGGAGGAAAGGGCAGUGACCCCGGACCUGGACCAAUGGGUUUAA
rnacentral:lncRNA from 1 species